AUUGAACGCUGGCGGAAUGCUUUACACAUGCAAGUCGAACGGCAGCACGGACUUCGGUCUGGUGGCGAGUGGCGAACGGGUGAGUAAUAUAUCGGAACGUGCCCAGUCGUGGGGGAUAACGUAGUGAAAAUUACGCUAAUACCGCAUACGAUCUAUGGAUGAAAGCGGGGGAUCGCAAGACCUCGCGCGAUUGGAGCGGCCGAUAUCAGAUUAGGUAGUUGGGGAGGUAAAGGCUCACCAAGCCGACGAUCUGUAGCUGGUAUGAGAGGACGACCAGCCGCACUGGAACUGAGACACGGUCCAGACUCCUACGGGAGGCAGCAGUGGGGAAUUUUGGACAAUGGACGCAAGUCUGAUCCAGCCAUUCCGCGUGCAGGACGAAGGCCUUCAGGUUGUAAACUGCUUUUGUACAGAACGAAAAGGUCUCUAUUAAUACUAGGGGCUCAUGACGGUACUGUAAGAAUAAGCACCGGCUAACUACGUGCCAGCCGCCGCAGUAA
rnacentral:rRNA from 1 species